UACAGAGGUCCCAAGCGUUGUUCGGAUUCACUGGGCGUAAAGGGUGCGCAGGUGGGUUUGCAAGUUUGAUGUGAAAGCCCCGGGCUUAACCCGGGAAUGGCAUUGAAUACUGCAGAUCUGGAGGAUUGGAGGGGGACUGGAAUUCUUGGUGUAGCAGUGAAAUGCGUAGAUAUCAAGAGGAACACCAGUGGCGAAGGCGAGUCCCUGGACAAUACCUGACACUGAGGCACGAAAGCAUGGGGAGCAAAAGG
rnacentral:rRNA from 1 species